rnacentral:tRNA from 1 species
GGAGUUGUGGCUCAGCGAUAGAGCGCUCGUCUUGCAUGUGCAGGGCCCUGAGUUCAAUCCUCAGCACCA